ensembl:snRNA U6 U6 spliceosomal RNA
GUGCUCACUUCAGCAGCACAUAUACUAAAAUUGGAACGAUACACAGAAGAUUAGCAUGGCCCUUGUGCAAGAAUGACACGCAAAUUUGUGAAGCGUUCCAUAUUUUU